rnacentral:rRNA from 1 species
CAGUAGCCGCGGUAAAACGAAGGGGGCUAGCGUUGCUCGGAAUGACUGGGCGUAAAGGGCGCGUAGGCGGCGGCCAAAGUCAGGCGUGAAAUUCCCGGGCUCAACCUGGGGGCUGCGUUUGAUACUUGGUUGCUUGAGUGGGGAAGAGGGUCGUGGAAUUCCCAGUGUAGAGGUGAAAUUCGUAGAUAUUGGGAAGAACACCAGUGGCGAAGGCGGCGACCUGGUCCUUUACUGACGCUGAGGCGCGAAAGCGUGGGGAGCAAACAGGAUUAGAUACCCGGGUAGUCCCUGUCUCUUAUAC